rnacentral:rRNA from 1 species
GCGGGUGCUAUACAUGCAGUCGAGCGGACAGAAGGGAGCUUGCUCCCGGAUGUUAGCGGCGGACGGGUGAGUAACACGUGGGUAACCUGCCUGUAAGACUGGGAUAACUCCGGGAAACCGGAGCUAAUACCGGAUAGUUCCUUGAACCGCAGGUUCAAGGAUGAAAGACGGUUUCGGCUGUCACUUACAGAUGGACCCGCGGCGCAUAGCUAGUUGGUGGGGUAAUGGCUCACCAAGGCGACGAUGCGUAGCCGACCUGAGAGGGUGAUCGGCCACACUGGGACUGAGACACGGCCCAGACUCCUACGGGAGGCAGCAGUAGGGAAUCUUCCGCAAUGGACGAAAGUCUGACGGAGCAACGCCGCGUGAGUGAUGAAGGUUUUCGGAUCGUAAAGCUCUGUUGUUAGGGAAGAACAAGUGCGAGAGUAACUGCUCGCACCUUGACGGUACCUAACCAGAAAGCCACGGCUAACUACGUGCCAGCAGCCGCGGUAAUACGUAGGUGGCAAGCGUUGUCCGGAAUUAUUGGGCGUAAAGGGCUCGCAGGCGGUUUCUUAAGUCUGAUGUGAAAGCCCCCGGCUCAACCGGGGAGGGUCAUUGGAAACUGGGAAACUUGAGUGCAGAAGAGGAGAGUGGAAUUCCACGUGUAGCGGUGAAAUGCGUAGAGAUGUGGAGGAACACCAGUGGCGAAGGCGACUCUCUGGUCUGUAACUGACGCUGAGGAGCGAAAGCGUGGGGAGCGAACAGGAUUAGAUACCCUGGUAGUCCACGCCGUAAACGAUGAGUGCUAAGUGUUAAGGGGGUUUCCGCCCCUUAGUGCUGCAGCUAACGCAUUAAGCACUCCGCCUGGGGGAGUACGGUCGCAAGACUGAAACUCAAAGGAAUUGACGGGGGCCCGCACAAGCGGUGGAGCAUGGUGGUUUAAUUCGAAGCAACGCGAAGAACCUUACCAG